GAUAGUAUGGCAUAGUGGUUUGAGUAUGGGACUACGACUCUGGAGCCCAGGGUUCAAUUCCCUGCUCAGCCA
rnacentral:tRNA from 1 species